AUUGAACGCUGGCGGCAUGCCUUACACAUGCAAGUCGAACGGCAGCACGGGAGCAAUCCUGGUGGCGAGUGGCGAACGGGUGAGUAAUAUAUCGGAACGUGCCCAGUCGUGGGGAUAACGUAGCGAAAGCUACGCUAAUACCGCAUACGAUCUAUGGAUGAAAGCGGGGGAUCGCAAGACCUCGCGCGAUUGGAGCGGCCGAUAUCAGAUUAGGUAGUUGGUGAGGUAAAGGCUCACCAAGCCGACGAUCUGUAGCUGGUCUGAGAGGACGACCAGCCACACUGGGACUGAGACACGGCCCAGACUCCUACGGGAGGCAGCAGUGGGGAAUUUUGGACAAUGGGCGCAAGCCUGAUCCAGCAAUGCCGCGUGCAGGAUGAAGGCCUCGGUUGUAACUGCUUUGUUACGGAACGAACGGUGAGCUCUAAUACAGUUUGCUAAUGACGGUACCGUAGAAUAAGCACGGCUAACUACGUACG
rnacentral:rRNA from 1 species